UACGAAGGGGGCUAGCGUUGCUCGGAAUUACUGGGCGUAAAGGGCGCGUAGGCGGCUAGUUUAGUCAGAGGUGAAAGCCCAGGGCUCAACCCUGGAAUUGCCUUUGAUACUGGCUAUCUUGAGUUCGGGAGAGGUGAGUGGAACUCCGAGUGUAGAGGUGAAAUUCGUAGAUAUUCGGAAGAACACCGGUGGCGAAGGCGGCGACCUGGUCCUUGACUGACGCUGAGGCGCGAAAGCGUGGGGAGCAAACAGG
rnacentral:rRNA from 1 species